rnacentral:lncRNA from 1 species
GGGAUUCUGUUCUUAGAGCCCAUAGCUGCUCACUGCAGGAUGGAGAAACACUGUAGGGCAGUGGCUCUCUACCUUCCUGAUGCUGGGACCCUCCAAUACAGUUCCUGCGGUGAUCCCCAAACAUAGAACCAUUGUUGUUGCUACUUCAUAACUAAUUUUGCUACUAUUAUGAAUCAUAAUGUAAAUAUAGAUACAGGAUAUCUAAUACGUGACCCCAGUGGGAGGAGCAACCCUCACACAGGUUGAAAACUGCUGCUGUGUAAAUAGAUGAUGUCCUACCCUAAGCAAGGAUUCAUAUCAAUUUAAUUUUUUUAAUUCAUAACAUUGUCUUAGUCAGGGUUUCUAUUCCUGUACAAACAUCAUGACCAAGAAGCAAAUUGAGGAGGAAAGAGUUUAUUCAGCUUAUACUUCCAGAUUGCUGUUCAUCACCAAAGGAAGUCAGGACAGGAACUCACACAGGGCAGGAACUUGGAGACAGGAGCUGAUGCAGAGGCCAUGGAGGGAUGCUGCUUACUGGCUUGCUUCCCCUGGCUUGCUCAGUUUUUUUUCUUAUAGAACCCAGAACUCCCAGCCCAAGGAUGGUACCACCCACAAUGGGCUGGGCCCUUCCCCCUUGAUCACUAAGUGAGAAAAUGCCUUACAGUUGGAGCUCAUGGAGGCAUUUCCUCAACUGAAGCUCCUUUCUCUGUGAUAACUAACUCCAGCCUGUGUCAAGCUGACACAAAACCAGCCAGUACAGACAUCAAAACGUAUGUAAGCUCCCUUACUUGCUGCGCUCACUACAGAUCCAUAAUAACGAAGAUUUAAUUAUUCUCCAUUAGAAAUUAAUUUAUGCAAAGUAAAUGUAAGAACAAAUUUUUGAAAAUUUGAUAAUAGCAAAAUGGCAUUAUCACAGAAAAAUAUGUAAUCAAAAAUAGCAUUUGAAAGACUCCCCAGCCCUGCCCAUGCAGAGGCCUUUGGAGUGUUCUAGCGAUAUAUUUUGGCUCGUCAUUGUGUUUCUGGGGAGAGGCGCACACCCAGAACUAUUGUGCUACCAUUCCUCAUUAGCCAGCCCUGGCUGGGUCCAGCCCAUGCCUGCUUUCUGGAAGCCAAGCCAGGACAAACUCUUAUCCCCUGCACUUUGACCUUUCUCAAGGCUAUUGCUCAGAGGGCUGCCAGCACUGGGUUGCUGGGCAGAGUUGGGCAGAGAGAACCAGUGAACAUAAAGGCAAGCUUACCAUCAUAAAGGAACCAGAGUGCCACACAGAUCUCUCUCUGUCAGCUCUCUUUAAAAUAUUAUUCGGUAUCUAAUAGUCAGGUGACUUAAUGUUACAAAUUUUGGGGAUUUUUGUGUGUCAAUCAAACUCUCCAAAGAAUAGAGACUCCCAAGCGUAGAAACUUUUUAAAUAAUAAUCUGGAAUCUGAAAAUUCCUGGUAACGGUUUUCAGUCCACCAUCUUUGGCCGGUCCCCUGGUUGUGAUUAUCAUUUGGAUCACUGUGGCCUUACGUCAGAUAGGUCACUGUCCAGCUGGAAAUUAAUAAGUGCAUCCUGGCCAGCAGCCACUUUACUGCUGGCUUUAAUCUGACCUUGGAGGCAAGCUUGUGUGUUUUAAAAACUGAUACAUCUUAGUUUAAUUUAUAUUUUAAAAAAAAUAAGAUUCCUACCAAGGCUGCCUCUGCAGUUCCAACCUGUGAGUCACUUCCGUUGCUGGAGGGAGAGGCAUGGGGCGGAUUCCAUCAUGGGGGGAGGAUGCCCUGUUGUGGAUAUGUCCACAGGCAGGGUUUUCAUGAUGAAAUACUAAAAGUUAAGGAUGUAGAUGAAGUCAGAGUUUAGCCCUUUUGCCCUCUGUCAAGGUAUGCUCAGAGUCUGUUGUGGGAGCCUCUCUGGACUAGGAAAAGCCCGUGCUUGUGUCUAAGGUUGGGCUGUUUCCUCAGCACAUCCUGCUGAUGAAGCUGCAUUGCAAUCUCCAGAAGUACUCAGGGUGGGAACAGUGUGUCCCGCGCGUGUCCACCCCGGCUUUCCUCCUACCUCCUAAGGCUCUCAACCUUCUACUGACCCGACCCUUUCGUGCAGCUCCUCACACUGUGGUGACCCCAACCACAAAAGUAUUCAUGGUGCUACCUCAUAGCUGUAUUUUUGCUACUAUUAUGAAUUUUAAUGUAAAUAUCUGUUUUCCAGUGUUCUUAGGCGACCCCUAUGAAGGAGUUAUCUGACCUCCAAGGGGGUGGUUGUAAUCCAUAGAUUAAGAAGCACUGGACUAAGUGUUUCACAUGGCCACCAACCACCAGAGGCUGUCCUCUUUCCAUGUCUACUCCUACCAAAAUCGUACCGUUGUCUAAUUAUCUAAUUGUGUUUUAUGCAGACCUCAGAGUUGGGUGUCACAGAACACGUUGAAGGAGAUCCUUGCAAAUUUGCACUGUGGGUGGGGAGGACGCCAACUUCAGAUAAUAAAAUUGUCCUUAAGGUACGUCAAUUUACAGCUUAUUGGCUUACAGUGUGAACGUUUAUUGUGGUGAUGUAAGCUGCUUUUCUUGCUGAUUGCAGGUCAUUUUAUUUGACUUUUUUGUUCUCUGAUGGAAUUGGUGAAGCC